CCGAUUUGAGCGAGCCUGGUCUUUUUGACCAUGGUCUCGCGAAAACUUUGUAUUUAAAACCCCACUCUUGUAAUUAAUAAAUGUUAUAUUAUGAUAAAGAUAAAGA
rnacentral:misc_RNA from 1 species